CCUACGGGGGGCAGCAGUGGGGAAUAUUGCACAAUGGGGGAAACCCUGAUGCAGCGACGCCGCGUGAGUGAAGAAGUAUUUCGGUACGUAAAGCUCUAUCAGCAGGGAAGAAACUGACGGUACCUGACUAAGAAGCCCCGGCUAACUACGUGCCAGCAGCCGCGGUAAUAAGUAGGGGGCAAGCGUUAUCCGGAGUUACUGGGUGUAAAGGGAGCGUAGACGGCAGCGCAAGUCUGGAGUGAAAGCCCAUGGCUUAACCAUGGAACUGCCUUGGAAAAUGGGCAGCUAGAGUGCAGGAGAGGUAAGCGGAAUGCCUAGUGGAGCGGUGAAAUGCGUAGAUAGUAGGAGGAACACCAGUGGCGAAGGCGGCUUACUGGACUGUAACUGACGUUGAGGCUCGAAAGCGUGGGGAGCAAACAGGAUUAGAUACCCCGGUAGUC
rnacentral:rRNA from 1 species